AUACGGAGGAUCCGAGCGUUGUCCGGAAUUACUGGGCGUAAAGAGCUCGUAGGUGGUUUGUCGCGUCGUCUGUGAAAUUCCGGGGCUUAACUCCGGGCGUGCAGGCGAUACGGGCAUAACUUGAGUACUGUAGGGGAGACUGGAAUUCCUGGUGUAGCGGUGAAAUGCGCAGAUAUCAGGAGGAACACCGGUGGCGAAGGCGGGUCUCUGGGCAGUAACUGACGCUGAGGAGCGAAAGCAUGGGUAGCGAACAGGAUUAGAUACCCUGGUAGUCCAUGCCGUAAACGGUGGGCGCUAGGUGUAGGGGUCUUCCACGACUUCUGUGCCGUAGCUAACGCAUUAAGCGCCCCGCCUGGGGAGUACGGCCGCAAGGCUAAAACUCAAAGGAAUUGACGGGG
rnacentral:rRNA from 1 species